rfam:Triticum aestivum genome assembly, contig: Triticum_aestivum_CS42_TGACv1_scaffold_220750_3B
CAGAUACUCCCUUUGUCCUAAAAUUCUUGUCUUAGAUUUGUCUAAAUACGGAUGUAUCAAGUCACGUUUGAGUAUUAGAUACAUCCAUAUCUAGGCAAAUCUAAGACAAGAAUUUUGGGACGGAGGGAGUACUUG